GGAAGAGAACCAGAGUUCUCUCUGACCCGACGAAACCCAGAAACCCACAGUAGGAUCCGACCGGCGCUACUUCGUCCGGCCACCGAUCGACGACGGCCGACCACCAUCUUCUUCACCUCUUCGUCGUCUACAUCCUCGUGCUCUUGGUUCGUCCAUGCACAGACCCUGGAGAGAGAUUCGAAGCUCAGAAGCUCGAAGCUUUACCGGCGAUUUCUGAAUUUUCCGGCGCCUCCGGCCACCUUCUGGGCCGUCUGUGUUUCGGCUUCGCCGUGUUCUUCGAAGCCGGCGACUUCUCCUGCCUUUCUGGGCUUUGUUUCUUGUUGAGCUGCACUCAUAGGCCAACAAUCAAGAAACUGGUUGAGCUGUUGGCGUGAGAAUCAUCAGUUCUUCAUCAAUCUAGUUUCGGCAGAGAGUUGGGAAACCGAGUUGAUAGCAGAGGAACUUGAAGGUAUAAUCCGAACCUUGAAAGCUUUGGUCUUGGAAUGGUGAUUAGAAGUGGUUAAAGUGAGUUGGGUUUAGCUCGGUUGAAAUUGGAGUUCCUCUGGUUGUCGAUUUUGUCAGGUGGUUCUAAUCUGGGUGUUUGGAGUUUAUGUUUGAAUGUGUUGUUGAAUAUGCUAUUGAUAUUAUAAUUGUGGAUUGAGUUUUGUUGUGAAUCAGGAAAAUGGUCAAGUGUGAGUAUGGGUGUCCUUAGUAAUUUGGGCACACCUUGUGUGAAAUGGUAGUGUAAAGAAAGAAAAAUAACAUAUUGGGUGUCCAUAGUAGUUUUGGGUACACCUUAUAUGGAAAUUGGAAAGUAUUGGGUGUCCAUAGUAAAUUCCGUGUAAUUACUAUGCGACAAGAUACGAAAUGGAAGUAAAAGACCAAGUGUAGCGUGAUUGAGAUAAAAUGUUGAUGAAAUUGGAAA